AAGGUGAGGAGUUGAACUCUGGGCUCUGAAUAGACACAAAGGACCUCUCCUAGGCUACCAUCAGCAGGAGGGACUGUGCUUGCCUUGAGAGCUGUGCAGUGCUUGGCACAGUAGGACGUCCACCAAACACGAAGUCUAGUCCUCUGCCUGCCCACAUAGCGUGGCUGAUGAUAUGCAACUUUUCGGGUGACCAGCGUGUUCCUCCCUUCUGAAACGCUGCAAGAGGAGUGCUUCCAAGAGGCUUGGUGGCAUCAUAAAGGUAAUAGAAUGUCAUCUUUCUCAUGAGUAACUUUCCGACUCUUUUUCCUUUUACCUCAGACAGGUGCCUUUCUACCUUCUUUGUACUUUCCCUU
rnacentral:lncRNA from 1 species